UUUCUAAAUGGAAAUGCCACUACUAAAGACAGAAUGCUAUAUGCAGAAUGAUGUCUUUUGUUUCCAAAGUUGAUACACUAGAGCAAAGCGAAAAUAAUAAAAGCGAAAUGUUUUGUGACCAAAUUACUUUGGGGUAAAUGCUGCAGCUGCAAGAGCUGCUGGUGAGUGUUCUUGGGCUAAACAGGAAAAGAUUUAAGGGAACAAUUACAUCCUGGGAAUGGGCUCUAAUCCAAUAUGAUUGGUGUCCUUAUAAGAAGAGGAGAUCAGGGCACAACGCACAGACAGCGGGGACCACGUGAAGACACAGGGAGAAGGCCGCAUCUACAAGCCAAGGAGAGACCAACCCCGUCGGCCCCUGAUCUCAGACUUGUGGCCUCCAGCACUGCUGCUCAGCCACCCCAACUGUUCCCUCAUGACGGCAGCCCCAGCAGAUGAAUAGCCUGCGUUGUGCAGGCUGACAGGGAAGAGGCAAUGAGGAGAGAGGGAGGCUCCUGCUCUUCUCCCUGGCCACGGAUGACUGAAUCAAGGGAUCCCGAUCAAGCAGAACCCCUCAAAGGUCUUUUGGGGCCUGGUGCGGAAACCUGUGCUUACUGCAGAAUGUGGAAUUGAGACAUGGAGGCUGCACCAUUGGGUGAGGGCGGCUGGUGCUGAGGGCAAGGGCCAGGCCAAGUCACAGUCACUUCAGGCUAGUCCAGGCUCGUUCUCUCAGCGGAGUCAGGGGUCCUAAGAGAAGAGCAAAAGCAGUAAAGGCGUCAUGAGGCCUGGACUUAAAGGACACAUUGCCAGUUCUGCUAUAUUCUGUUGACCAAAGCAGGUCACAAGACUGGCCACGGUACAAGGGGUGAGAAAAUACGCUCUACCUUUUAAUGAGGCAUUGUAAACUCACAUUGCCAAGGGCGUGAAUACAGGAGGUCAUUAAUUGUGACCACGAAUGCCAUCUAUCUAUCAGAUCUGCCAAUGUGAUUUUUCUUUUAGGUGUGAACUUAGUCCAAUUUCAGACAUUAGUAAAACUCAUUCGGAUUCCAUUUCCAAAUUCCUAAUUCCAAGAGAACUGGAAAAGCAGAGCGUGCCAACCUCUUAUAAUCCUUCUUCAUGUGACAAACAUUUCUGGAGCGCCCACUGAGCCAGGCUCAGAAGGUCCCCGGGACAUGUAUGAAACCACACUUCUCCUGCCCUCCAGGUGCUCAGCACAGCAGAAUCCCGGCUGGGAACAGAGAGCAGCAAUGGCCACACAGCUCUAGUGGGAAUCCUGGGGAAGUGGUACGUGGUGUUGAAUAGUGACUCAGAGUUUUCCAGAAAGAAAAGGAAGCGGAAUUCAUUCCAGAGGCCUGGAAGACGUAAAGAUGGUUGCGUUUUCAUGAAACCGAGCUGCUGACACAAAGCGCAAGGCUGAGAUUGUGUGGGGCCUUGCCUGACUCUCCGUGGAGCAAGGAUUUUACUGUGAAGGAUCCACGAAGUUACCGCAGGGCUUCUGCUGGAUGCGUGUGCUCUGCUUGGCCCUCUAGAAAGACUGCUGGGGCAGCAGAGAGGUGAAGAGGGAGCUAAAGACAGGGCGACCAGUUGGGAGACUAUUUCCGGUCCAAAUCCAUCCUCUCGGGUUGGAGUUUCCGUGACCGUCCACCUGCUGGCUGGAACUGGGAAGUCCUCUGGGGUCCUAAACCCUCGCAGUUGCUUGCUCAGAGUUAUGCAAGCGGGUGGGGUCGGGGCAGGACCAGGACGAUUUGCCCUUUCUGCUCUUGGCUGAUUUCGUAACAGGUUAGUUUUUAAA